rnacentral:lncRNA from 1 species
GCAGAGCUUCAGCGGGACCAGCUACAAAUUAAAGCAGGAUUCUUUCUGUUUCCUUAUGACAAAGAAUAAGAUCAACCAGUUUGACCUUUGUUUUCCCAAAGGCAAUGUACUGUACUACCAGAUUUUGUCCUUUGAAGUAAUUGCUUACUUGACACUGAAGAAAUUGUGUAUAAGUAUUUUCACAGAAAUCUUCAUUCUUCCUUUCUCUUCAGCUAUGUUUUUAAAUGUUAUUAUGUGAUGUCUAGCCCUGAGUUGCAAUUUUGCAUGCAAUUUUGCAUGUUCAAUAUUUCUGAUUUCAUGAUUGUGUAGAUUCUGUCAUUAAAUGUGUUUGAAAAACACACUGAUAGAGGCAGAAAGAAAGUUUUGUUUGUUUGUUUUUGUUCAUAGGAACUUCAGCUUAAGAUGGAACAGCAACAGAAGAUUCUUAAACUUAAAGACAGCGAGAUUGCUGCAUUUAAAAAGAAGAAAAAUAACUCGGUGGGAACUUUACAGAAAUCAGAGCAUCACAGUUUCUCAUCACGAUGUGUUUUUCCACCAAUCUUGGUCUUGGGCAAGAAUCAUGCAAUGAGGAUGGGCUAGCUGAUUUCCUGUGGUACCUUUCCAACUUAGUUGUUGUCAUUCUAUAUAUGACAUCUAUUUAUAUAACUGUUUGUAGGAAAAUAAUACAUUUCCUUAAAAGCAUCUGAUAAAAUUGUUUGCAUAAGAUGUAGUAAUAUAACAUUGCUGAGCCUCUCCUUAAGUCAGUCCUAUUUCUGUAGUAUCCUGAAUCAGGAUUCUGUUGAACAAUUAAUGUUAAGAAUUGAAAUGUUGAUUUCUCACGUUUUAUCAGUUACUCUAAAAGAGGAAAAACAUAGUCAUGCUCUCUGGAUCUCUGUUUAAAUUGUAGAAAUUAGAAGAGCAAAAGAAAUGGCUGGAUGAAGAAAUGGAAAGAAUUCUUCAACAGCACCAACAGUUAGCGGAACUAGAAGAAGAUCUAAAGAAAAGAGAAGCCAUUGUAGCUAAAAAAGAAGCAUUAUUGCAAGAGAAAAGCCACCUAGAAAUCAAGAAACUGAGAUCUAGCCAGGUGAUUUAAGAAAAAUAAAAAAGAAAGCAAGCAAGAAAGCA